ACUCCUACGGGAGGCAGCAGUAGGGAAUCUUCCACAAUGGACGAAAGUCUGAUGGAGCAACGCCGCGUGAACGAUGAAGGCCUCGGUCGUAAAGUUCUGUUGUAAGGGAAGAACAAGUGCCGCAGGCAAUGGCGGCACCUUGACGGUACCUUGCGAGAAAGCCACGGCUAACUACGUGCCAGCAGCCGCGGUAAUACGUAGGUGGCAAGCGUUGUCCGGAAUUAUUGGGCGUAAAGCGCGCGCAGGCGGCCUCUUAAGUCUGAUGUGAAAGCCCCCGGCUCAACCGGGGGAGGGCCAUUGGAAACUGGGAGGCUUGAGUAUAGGAGAGAAGAGUGGAAUUCCACGUGUAGCGGUGAAAUGCGUAGAGAUGUGGAGGAACACCAGUGGCGAAGGCGACUCUUUGGCCUAUAACUGACGCUGAGGCGCGAAAGCGUGGGGAGCAAACAGGAUUAGAUACCCUGGUAGGAUAGCG
rnacentral:rRNA from 1 species